rnacentral:rRNA from 1 species
GUUAAGCGACUAAGCGUACACGGUGGAUGCCCUGGCAGUCAGAGGCGAUGAAGGGCGUGCUAAUCUGCGAUAAGCGCCGGUAAGGUGAUAUGAACCGUUAUAACCGGCGAUACCCGAAUGGGGAAACCCAGUGUGAUUCGUCACACUAUCAUUAACUGAAUCCAUAGGUUAAUGAGGCGAACCGGGGGAACUGAAACAUCUAAGUACCCCGAGGAAAAGAAAUCAACCGAGAUUCCCCCAGUAGCGGCGAGCGAACGGGGAGGAGCCCAGAGCCUGAAUCAGCAUGUGUGUUAGUGGAAGCGUCUGGAAAGGCGCGCGAUACAGGGUGACAGCCCCGUACACAAAAGCGCAUGUGCUGUGAGCUCGAUGAGUAGGGCGGGACACGUGGUAUCCUGUCUGAAUAUGGGGGGACCAUCCUCCAAGGCUAAAUACUCCUGACUGACCGAUAGUGAACCAGUACCGUGAGGGAAAGGCGAAAAGAACCCCGGCGAGGGGAGUGAAAAAGAACCUGAAACCGUGUACGUACAAGCAGUGGGAGCACAGGUUUACCUGUGUGACUGCGUACCUUUUGUAUAAUGGGUCAGCGACUUAUAUUCUGUAGCAAGGUUAACCGUAUAGGGGAGCCGCAGGGAAACCGAGUCUUAAUUGGGCGUUAAGUUGCAGGGUAUAGACCCGAAACCCGGUGAUCUAGCCAUGGGCAGGUUGAAGGUUGGGUAACACUAACUGGAGGACCGAACCGACUAAUGUUGAAAAAUUAGCGGAUGACCUGUGGCUGGGGGUGAAAGGCCAAUCAAACCGGGAGAUAGCUGGUUCUCCCCGAAAGCUAUUUAGGUAGCGCCUCGUGAAUUCAUCUCCGGGGGUAGAGCACUGUUUCGGCUAGGGGGCCAUCCCGGCUUACCAACCCGAUGCAAACUGCGAAUACCGGAGAAUGUUAUCACGGGAGACACACGGCGGGUGCUAACGUCCGUCGUGAAGAGGGAAACAACCCAGACCGCCAGCUAAGGUCCCAAAGUCAUGGUUAAGUGGGAAACGAUGUGGGAAGGCCCAGACAGCCAGGAUGUUGGCUUAGAAGCAGCCAUCAUUUAAAGAAAGCGUAAUAGCUCACUGGUCGAGUCGGCCUGCGCGGAAGAUGUAACGGGGCUAAACCAUGCACCGAAGCUGCGGCAGCGACGCUUAUGCGUUGCUGGGUAGGGGAGCGUUCUGUAAGCCUGCGAAGGUGGCCUGUGAGGGUUGCUGGAGGUAUCAGAAGUGCGAAUGCUGACAUAAGUAACGAUAAAGCGGGUGAAAAGCCCGCUCGCCGGAAGACCAAGGGUUCCUGUCCAACGUUAAUCGGGGCAGGGUGAGUCGACCCCUAAGGCGAGGCCGAAAGGCGUAGUCGAUGGGAAACGGGUUAAUAUUCCCGUACUUGGUGUUACUGCGAAGGGGGGACGGAGAAGGCUAUGUUGGCCGGGCGACGGUUGUCCCGGUUUAAGCGUGUAGGUGUGUGUUCCAGGUAAAUCCGGUUCACUUUAACACUGAGGCGUGACGACGAGGCACUACGGUGCUGAAGCAACAAAUGCCCUGCUUCCAGGAAAAGCCUCUAAGCAUCAGGUAACAUCAAAUCGUACCCCAAACCGACACAGGUGGUCAGGUAGAGAAUACCAAGGCGCUUGAGAGAACUCGGGUGAAGGAACUAGGCAAAAUGGUGCCGUAACUUCGGGAGAAGGCACGCUGACACGUAGGUGAAGUGAUUUACUCAUGGAGCUGAAGUCAGUCGAAGAUACCAGCUGGCUGCAACUGUUUAUUAAAAACACAGCACUGUGCAAACACGAAAGUGGACGUAUACGGUGUGACGCCUGCCCGGUGCCGGAAGGUUAAUUGAUGGGGUCAGCGCAAGCGAAGCUCCUGAUCGAAGCCCCGGUAAACGGCGGCCGUAACUAUAACGGUCCUAAGGUAGCGAAAUUCCUUGUCGGGUAAGUUCCGACCUGCACGAAUGGCGUAAUGAUGGCCAGGCUGUCUCCACCCGAGACUCAGUGAAAUUGAACUCGCUGUGAAGAUGCAGUGUACCCGCGGCAAGACGGAAAGACCCCGUGAACCUUU